rnacentral:rRNA from 1 species
AACGAACGCUGGCGGCAUGCCUAACACAUGCAGGUCGAACGAUCCCUUCGGGGAUAGUGGCGCACGGGUGCGUAACGCGUGGGAACCUGCCCUUAGGUUCGGAAUAACUCAGAGAAAUUUGAGCUAAUACCGGAUAAUGUCUUCGGACCAAAGAUUUAUCGCCUUUGGAUGGGCCCGCGUUGGAUUAGCUAGUUGGUGGGGUAAAGGCCUACCAAGGCGACGAUCCAUAGCUGGUCUGAGAGGAUAAUCAGCCACACUGGGACUGAGACACGGCCCAGACUCCUACGGGAGGCAGCAGUGGGGAAUAUUGGACAAUGGGCGAAAGCCUGAUCCAGCAAUGCCGCGUGAGUGAUGAAGGCCUUAGGGUUGUAAAGCUCUUUUACCCGGGAUGAUAAUGACAGUACCGGGAGAAUAAGCCCCGGCUAACUCCGUG